AUGAUUAAAAACACGGGUACUGUAUGUCUAGGUUGUCAGUCUGGAAGAUGUUGGAAGAUGUUGCUUGACCCCCUGGCAUCCCACCCAGGACUGAAACCCAGGGAUGUUGGCAUUACCAGGAAGGGAGGCAAUGGCUGCAGGGGCAGUGAUGAGGAAGGUGAAGCGGUGCAGUCUCUACUCUGCUCCCCACCAAAAGAUGCAGCUCCCGAGGCUCCAGCUUGGCCGGUGAACCCAGAGAUGUGCAGGAGCUCUGUCUGCCGGGACACGGCCCCGGAGGAGCCCUGUGGCUGUCCCUGGUCCCGGGUGGCAGCACAGAUGGGCAUCUCCAGCAGCCCGAAUUCCAGCUCCUGGCUCUGCCAUCCCGGUGACGGCAGCACAUCUGCAUAAGGAGCCACUGGGUGAGUAAUACCUGCCUCUGCAGACACAGAUCCUGCAAACACUUUGUGGUAAAGCUGCUGCUGCUCUGGGAAGGGAGGAUGCACUUUACUCCGAAAGCAGAGGAUGAAAGACUCUGUGGCAACGGCUUCUCUUUGAAAGGGCUGAGCCCAAUCCUCUGCAGAAGCAGCUGUUUGUUAUCAAAUCUCUGAUCUCCAGAGCAUUAAUGCCCUGCCUGUAGCGAAGGCAGCCAGCACACACUGCAGCCUCGCAGCCUUCUGCUGAGCAUCUCAGCCUCACUCCAGCAAUGCUGCUGCUAACUGCAGUGAAACUGAGGAUUGAAGGGAUUCACCUCUUUCAGUCUCCUGUCAGGUAGGUCAGGAUGGUGCACAGUGACAGGAACAUCUGAAAUGGCUGCAUUUGCCCAAAUCCUGAGCUACAGGUGUGCAGCGAGGCAGACCUGUGCCUGUCAGCACAGAACUGUCUAAAAAUUAACCACAUUAGCACCUUCCCUAUCUGUCAGCAGAUAAGAGCAUUACCUCAGAGACAGGCGGGGGAUAUUGCUGAUAGACUGAACCUGGGUGCUGGGUAACUCCUGACUUUGACCUUGGCCACUUAUAGCACCGGAGCAAAAUUCUGCAUGCUUCUGUUUGCUUACAUGGAGAUAAGGAUACUACCCUCUGGAUUAAAAGUGUCAUUAGAGGCACAUUAUGAUUAUAAUUAUUAUUUUACAAGCUGAAAAUAGUGCGCAGAAGCUGGCAGGGCUGCUGCUGAGGUUCUUCAAGGAGUGUGUGCCUUUGCAAAAGGCCGGAAGAAACUGUACAGGAGGAUUUUCUCAUACAUAAGCUGAGGAAAAGGAUUAUCUGUGAAACAGCUAACAGUUUUUAUUUACUGUGAAAAUCUGAGUCUCACUCUCAAUUUCCCAUCAAGAUAAAAUGCAGGCAUUUGGUUAAAAUGGUAACUUAAUGCUCCAGAGGUUUAAUUACCACCACUCUAUAAUCAAAAUCAACACAGAGUGCAAGCUGUAGCUCCCAACUACAACAAGAAAUGCAGCUUCCCACAAAGCAGUCAAUAAAAAGAAGAUAUAUAACAUGUGCUUGGAUUUUGUGGUCCUUCCCACAGCUGAACUUGCAAAUCUGCUAUUGCUAAUGGUUUUCUUUCAAACCCCAGGUUCUCUCUUAGCUUUUAUCAAGCUCCAGAGCUCCUUAUUUCUACAUUUUAAUUUUGUCUGUGUAUAAUAUCUAUAUACAAGGUAUUGAAUUAAGGGAGUUUGCAGUGCUGGAAGCUAAAUUUCAAAUUUUUUUUUCUUGUACCAAAAGAAAGCCCUGAACUAAUCUCAAUAGUAGUUAUUACUGAAACUUUAUAAGGGCCUUUGUUGGAAAAAGUGUCAUGAAAGCAGGGAUGUCUUCUGGGCUGAGGCUGGUGUGAUCCCUGGCAUGGAUGUCCACAGAUCAAGUGAUCCAUCCUCCUCCGUUGCAGUUCCUGGUGCUUUUCUUUAAGGACUUCUGGAUCACAGGACCAGCUUCGGUCUUGCUUAGGACAGAUUUUCCUCUGCAAGUUGAGAUUUCUUUUCUCCAGUGCCUUCUCCCAGUGCAUUUUCUGAAUGGGGCCGUAGUUCUGAGCCAAGUGAUGAUCCCUGUGAAAAUUGCACAAGCUCUGUAUUUUGUCUGUUCCCUUGCAAGUCAAGUUUCUUGUGAGCAAAGCUUUUACCUGUCCUGCAGCCACGCCCCUGCCAGGCACCAGGGCAAAGGUGUCCAGCACGGGCACUGUUAACAAAGCAAUCCCCUGCCAGGGGCUGAGCCCUGAAUUUACAUCCUGGGAUGCUCCCAGAUGCUGCAGUAGCAAGGACAGAAGUUGCUCUCCAAAAAAACUUUGCUAUGGUGUCUGCCCUCUAGGCAAGGGUUAAUUUUCCUCCUCGUCAGCCCCCCAUAAAAAGCAGCACAUUUUGUGACCUGCUCCUACCGACUUGUGGAAAUAAGAGAUACCCUAUUAGCAAUCCCUGUCCAAACACUGUUGGACUGGUUAGUGCCAGCACUUUCCAUCCAGCACUAGUAUUUGUUUUUCCAUGCUCUUAAUCUUAGAAAUUGAAUUGAGUCUGAUAAAAGUGACUUCCUGAAUAUUGCAUAACAGUUUACGUCUGUCAGGAGGGAAGACAAACAGACCUGACCUUGAACUCGGAAAGUUUCCUCCCAGCAGGUAAAAGCUUCCAAAAGUCUGAGCAGGGGAUCCUUGUCUCCUCACUGUCCUGGGCCAGCAAUGAGACUUCCCUGGCAGCCAUUCUCUCCAUAAAAAAAGCUCUGUAAAACACUUUGGAUCCUCCUCUGGGACCUGAGAAUCCCCUGGAAAGAGCUGCAGCAGGAAGGCAGCUUCAUG
ensembl:lncRNA